CUUUUUCUUUCUCUGCUCUAAAACACAAAGAGCACCAGCGGCUCUUUGCUUCAUCUUCUCAUCCAGGACAUGUAUCUCUUGAAAUAUAUGCUCCUGAAGUCAAGCGUUCAGAAGAAGUCAAGCAUUCUUUUUGAACAUUUCUAUGCUCGAGAUCAUCUUUAACAUACUGAUUUUUUAAUUCCAAUGAAACCUGAAGGUUUUGCCAGAUUAAAACUAGCGAGCGGAACUCAGAACAAAAUUUACUUACCAUGGUUGCAGAAGACUUAAAGCUCCUCUCCUCCUCUAUCAGUUCAAAUGGAGGCUUCUGGUAUUCUUGUCAUACCGCAUAUUCAUAGACUUCCUGAAGUUACGACAUUCUUAUUCUACUCAACCAGUUCAAGCAAGUAAAGAUGCUUAUUAA